rnacentral:lncRNA from 1 species
AAACUAGCUAGUUCUCAUAUAAGGUUUUCUUGUGGUGAUGUUUACGUCAAUGACCUAAAUAUAUAUGUACAAAAGUUUGUAAUUUAUAUCUUAAUGACAAAGUAAAUGCUAAGAUACAUAUGAACACAAUCGACACUAGGAGAUAUACACGAACAUAUGGAAUAUAGCUGUAACAUCUCCUCCUCCCUCACUUUCAAGUUAAAGCAUUGUUUUGCUAAGUUUCAAGUUAAAGCAUGCAUAUCAGUAUAUCACAAAUUUCCAUCAUAUCAAGAAAUGUCUCAAUUCGCGAUUUUUAAGAGAUAUCGCCCAGCUGAGACUGAGCAGAGAUAUGAUGAGUUGUAAUAGUUUUUGUUUUCAUCAUGCUUCUCAUGUGUGAGCUAUUAGGAUAAGGAAACCAUAUUCACAUUCAUGAGCAUAUAUUACAUUAGCUCAAUCAUCUCAAUCGUCUUUACUUCCGUAUAUAUUCCUACCGUAAAUAUUCUCUAUGUAAUUGUAUAUAUGAUGAGCUCUGCUCUAUCAAUAGAAUCAUUCGAUUCCAUAAGCUAAUAUGGUAUCAGAGCAGCUUUAGGUUAAACACCUCCCUUUUUUUUUCUUUUUUUUUCUCUUCAGCCGCUGCACCUCUCUCCUCUUAUCUUCUUCUUCUGUCUUUCUGAAAAUCACCAUUAUCUCUGGUUAUUAUGACAAACGACAGCUCCUCUGCUGAGACUACAACAGUCUUCAACGCUAGCGACCCUUCUAGCACUCUCCUCACCGUCAACAUGUCAAACAUCACGAAAUUGACGAAUGUUAACUACUUGAUGUGGAGUAAGCAGAUCAGUGCUCUCCUAGUAGGUCUUGAGCUCCACAGUUUCCUUGAUGACACAAAGAUGGCCGCCACCACCAUCCUCAAUGCUGAAGGCCAAACCGUCGAAAAUCCGGCUUAUACUCCUUGGAGACGUCAAGAUCGCCUUCUUUACAGCGCUUUGAUUGGAGCCAUAUCAACACCGAUUCAAUCAGUUGUCUCCAGCGCCGCCACAACAGCCCAGAUCUGGAAUCUCCUUGCCCAAACCUUUGGCAAUCCAUCUCGAGGCCAUAUCCGUCAACUGAAGAAUCAAGUCAACAAGAGCACUAAAGGAACCAAAACGAUUUCUGAAUAUCUCAGGCUCAUCAAAACCAAAACGGAUGAACUCGCCGAACUCGGUAAACCGAUGGACUCUGAAGACAUCACGGAGAAUGUUCUCGCCGGUCUACCUGAUGAGUACAAACCCGAGAUUGAUGCUAUACAUGGUAGAGACACAGCGAUCUCAUUUGCAGAGCUUCAUGAACGUCUCUUAAAAAGAGAAGCAAUGCUACUCUGUAAGGAACCUGCAGCAAGUCUUGACGUUCCUAUUACUGCGAAUCCAACCGACGCAAGACCUCGCAACUCAAACACGCAGAACAACUGGAGAGGUCCCAAUCGCAACAACAACAAUCGCAACUACUCCAACCAAAGCUCAUAUAACUCCAAUCAAGGUUCAUACAACUCCAACCAUGGCUCUUACAAUCGUGGCUCUCGCCCUUACUUGGGAAGAUGUCAAGCAUGUGGUGUUCAAGGACACAGUGCCAAAUACUGUCCAGAGUUUCAGAUGGUUCGUGGUAACAACAAUUCGACUCAAGCAUGGCGUCCACAACACCAGUCACAAGCACUGUACCCUCGCGCCAACGUCGCUAUGAUGAACGGUGACUCAAACACAUGGCUUCUCGAUUCCGGCGCGUCCCACCACAUGACUUCAGACAUCGCAAACCUCUCUCUGCACACUCCAUACAAUGGUGGAGAUGAUGUUAUCCUUGGCGAUGGCUCUGGGCUGAACAUCUCUCAUACUGGUUCUUUAUCCCUUCCUUCUCUUAAGCAUCCCUUCUUUAUUGAUAAUGUUCUCUUUGUUCCUGCCUUAGAUAAGAAUUUAAUCUCUGUUUUUCAACUUUGCAAAACUAAUGGCGUUGCUGUUACUUUCACACCAACUUACUUUCAGGUCAGAGACUUGACUACGGGAGCUCUUCGUCUGGAAGGCAAACCUGAAAAUGGUACCUACCAGUGGCCGAAAGAAACUACCUCCACACCACCAUCUCUUUCUUUUGCUUCGGCUACUUCCACAACUUUGACUGAUUGGCAUUCACGUUUAGGCCAUCCUGCUGCUUCUAUAUUACAAACUAUGAUAUCUAUUUUUCGUUUACCAUUAUCUUCAAAAGCUUUAAAGAACAAGCCUUGUAAUGCUUGCUCGAUUAAUAAGAUGCACAAGUUGCCAUUUUCAGAUUCAACCCUUAUCUCUAGUUCUCCGCUUGAUGUUGUGUUUUCUGAUGUUUGGACAUCUCCAAUUUUGUCUAUUGAUAAUUUCAAAUAUUAUGUGAUUUUUGUGGAUCAUUUCACACGUUACACUUGGCUUUAUCCUUUGAAAAGAAAAUCUCAGGUUUCAGAAGUUUUUCAACGUUUUAAAGCUUUAGUCGAAAACCGUUUUCAAAGCAAGAUUAGAACUCUUUACACUGAUAACGGUGGUGAGUAUAUUGCACUAACAGCUUUUCUAGCUGCUAAUGGCAUCUCUCAUUAUACUUCACCACCUCAUACGCCUGAGCAUAAUGGCAUUUCAGAGCGGAAACAUCAACAUAUAGUCGAAACGGGUCUUGCUCUGUUAUCUCAUGCCUCAAUGCCAAAGAAUUACUGGCCAUAUGCUCUAGCAACAUCAGUUUUUCUAAUCAACAGAAUGCCUACUCCUGUUCUCAAUAUGAAAUCGCCUUUUCAAUCUUUAUUUGGCCAGUCCCCAAAUUAUUCUAAGUUAAGGAUAUUUGGUUGUCUUUGUUUUCCUUGGACGAAACCUUAUACUAAUCAUAAGCUUGAUGCUAGAUCCACUCCUUGCGUAUUUCUAGGCUACUCUACAACUCAAAGUGCAUACUAUUGCUUAGAUAGGAAAACGUCUAGGAUUUAUACUUCUAGACAUGUUGUUUUUCAUGAAUAUGUGUUUCCUUUUGAGUUGCCUAACCCUCUUACAUCUGAGUCAUUUGCUGAGAAUGUUGCUGCAAAUACAUCACCUGCAGAUCAUGUGACUACUACAGUUAUUCCUCUACAGCCUCAGGCUCCACUCCCAACUCCAGUUGUACAACCAACCGUUCCGGUAGAUACUACAGCAACGGUGGCAACAUCAAUCUUACAGCCUCCAACUUCUACUCCACCAGCAACAACCUCCACUACUGCAACAGACCAGACUCAUCCUCCAGAACAACAGCCCCAACCCACAGUUACUCCACCUACUGAACCAGUUCAAGUCGUGCCACAUCCUAUACCUCAACCACCAUCGCGAACCUCCACACGGAAGCGCAAACCAGUUGACAAGCUUAAUCUCUCUGCUGUUGUCCUUCCUGCAACCGAGAAAAUACCAACAUCUGUGGCAGAAGCAUUAAAAGAUCCUAGAUGGAGGAAGGCGAUGUGUGAUGAAAUUAAUGCACAACUCAGAAACCACACUUGGGAUUUACACUCUCCAGUCACUGCAGCAAAUAUUGUGGGCUGCAAAUGGGUCUUCACGAUCAAGCGGAAGGCUGAUGGUUCAGUGGACAGAUUCAAGGCGCGGUUAGUGGCAAAAGGCUUCACCCAGCAACAUGGCCUAGACUAUCAAGAUACAUAUAGCCCAGUGGUCAAACCUGCAACCAUCCGCCUUGUCUUAAGUGUUGCAGUCUCCAACCAAUGGCCAAUGCGUCAAUUCGACGUAAACAAUGCUUUCUUGCAAGGGAAGCUUGAGGAAACAGUCUACAUGAUGCAGCCUCCUGGUUUCGUCAACCAAGAUCAUCCAAAGGCAGUGUGUAAACUCAACAAGGCUAUUUAUGGACUUAAACAAGCACCGAGGGCUUGGUACACUGAACUUAAGAGAUUCUUGCUCUCUUCGGGUUUCAGAAAUUCACUUGCGGAUGCUAGUCUCUUCAUUUACAACCAAAACGGCACUCUUCUUUACAUGCUAGUUUAUGUGGAUGACAUAGUUCUCACAGGGAACAACACACAGCAAAUGGAAAGCUUCAUACAAGCUCUCUCUACACGAUUCUCUCUAAAAGAUCUUGGCUCUCUUUCUUAUUUUUUGGGAAUUGAAGCUCAUCGAACUUCUCAUGGCUUAUUACUAACUCAAAAACGUUAUAUUGCAGACUUACUCCAGCGCAUCAAGAUGACAGACUGCAACUCGGUUUCCACACCAAUGUGUCCGUACAAACCAUUAACGUUAGACUCCGGCACCCCACUGUCUGAUCCCACACAAUACCGCGCAACGGUGGGAAGCCUCCAGUACCUGUCACUUACUCGCCCAGAUAUCUCCUUCGCUGUCAAUAAGCUCUCACAAUUUAUGCACAAGCCAACUGAUGAGCAUUGGAAUGGGGUCAAACGGGUUCUUCGCUAUCUCUCCGGCAGUAUGUCAACUGGUAUUUUCCUGUCUGCGAUCAACACUCCUGCAUUACACGCCUUUACAGACGCGGACUGGGCCGGGAAUCGAGACGAUUACACUUCAACAGGCGCCUACAUCGUCUAUUUUGGCAAGCAUCCCAUAGCUUGGUCAUCAAAGAAACAGGCAACAGUAGCUCGGUCCUCAACAGAGGCUGAGUAUCGUUCUAUCGCCUCCACAGCUGCUGAAGUUUGUUGGCUUCUUUCGCUCUUCACAGAGAUGGGAAUCAAGACGACAACGACCCCAACAAUCUACUGUGACAACAUAGGCGCCACAUAUCUUGCCGCCAACCCUGUCUUUCACUCUCGCAUGAAGCAUCUCGCACUGGACUAUCACUUCGUUCGCAGUCAUAUUCAAGCUGGUCAAAUGCGUGUUACUCACGUCACCUCAUCAGAUCAACUAGCAGACGCCUUAACCAAACCCCUCUCUCGGGCUAAACAUCAACAACUAUGCUCCAAGAUCGGACUUGCACAAGGUCGUCCGUCUUGAGGGGGGAUAUUAGGAUAAGGAAACCAUAUUCACAUUCAUGAGCAUAUAUUACAUUAUCUCAAUCAUCUCAAUCGUCUUUACUUCCGUAUAUACUCCUACCGUAAAUAUUCUCUAUGUAAUUGUAUAUAUGAUGAGCUCUGCUCUAUCAAUAGAAUCAUUCGAUUCCAUAAGCUAAUAUGAGCUUAUAUGUCUCUCGAGACUUAGUUGUAGUCCACCGGCUCUGUUUCUCCGGGAUUACCUUAAUCGCCAACCUUUGCAUCAAUUUUCUGAUUUAUAUCAUAUCCUUUCAGUGAAAAAAGGUUUUGCAAAAUGAAAAAAGAUUGUUUGUUUCUUUCAGACAUAAAAUUGCGUAGUGUCCUGAGUAUGUAUGUUGACCCAAUAAUGAAGCGCUGUAGUAAACAGUGAUAGGUGGUUAGAGUAAGGAUAGACAUGUGUUUCUUGAUUCUUAUUUCGAAGAAAGAUAUUUACGUUGUAACAACUUCCAAGUCGACACAGGUACACACGCACACUGAUCUUUUUCAAUUGUCUCUUUCUGCAACGUAGCUAUCACAUAUGUAUCACAUACAUGUGAUCGCUAAUUUUUCACUGAUUUUUUCUCUUUCUUUUAAAAUUUGGACCCAUAAUUUUCUUAUCAACUUCAAGUCCCUUACUCAUAAUGUAAUCGCAGAUGCAUAGUUUUUGGAACAAGCGAAGUUCUAGGCGGGCUUGUGUCGAUGUCUCCGCUAGUUUCAAAUAUAAUUAUAUGGUUGCGUUCAUAUGAAAAAAUAAAAAUAAAACUCACAUUUUCGAAAGAAUUAAAAUUACUAUUUUACAAUAUAUUAUUUACGUUUAUAUUUAUCU